rnacentral:lncRNA from 1 species
AAAAAAUACAAAAACUUUAUUUUCAACAUAAUUUUAUUUCCUUAUGCCUGUGUGGAAUAGUAACUACUUAUUUUAAUCCUGUUUAAACUGCCUUUCCACAAAUAUACUAAAUAUACGAUUUAAACACUUAGAAAGAACUGGAAGAUGCCAUUGAGCAGAGCUGCACUCAUUAUGUAACCAAGGAAAAGAGCUUUGGAAGAAAAAAAAUCACAAAUGUCUACUGGGAAUUGUGUCCAGAAGCAGCAGCACAUUAUUGAAUAUUUUCUUUCCCAUCUGUCUUGCCUCCAUCUUCAAUCAAUCAAUCAAUCAAAGAAAGGAAGAAAGGAAGGACGGAAGGAAGGAAGGAAGGAGAAGGAAAGAAAGANUCUUGCCUCCAUCUUCAAUCAAUCAAUCAAUCAAAGAAAGGAAGAAAGGAAGGAAGGAGAAGGAAAGAAAGAAAAGAAAGAAAGAAAGAAGAAAGGACGGAAGGAAGGAAACAUUCCUUAUGUUACUAAAGAAAUGGAGGAUUCUAUUUCCUGAAAUACCUAGAGUAUUUGAGUAAACUGGGUCUGAACUUGGGAGUCGAAAGAGGGAUAAGGGCCACCACCAAAUUACACUUGGUAAGUCUUGACAGCUUCAGGCAACCUGAGAAGCCCUGAGCUGUUGUCCCCUGGGGGCCCCCCUCAAAAAUGACACAUGUAUCUCA